GUUAAUGUAGCUUAAAACAAAAGCAAGGUGCUGAAAACACCUAGAUGAGUUAUUCCAACUCCAUGAACA
rnacentral:tRNA from 1 species